CUUUCAAUUCAUCUCUUUCCUUUGAGACAGAGAAUUGAGAUCUCGGCUGCUCCUUCGUCUUCGUCUUCGUCUUCGCGUUUCUGACAGUAAUGGCCUCAGCCUGCAACCGAUUGGCGAACAGAGCAUCCUUUUCGUCCAUUAGAGCCGCCAUAAGAUCAACUCCAUUCAACCGCAAACCUCCCUCUUCCUCUCUCCCUACCUCUUCUACCACUCCUCUCAACCGCUUCUCUCUAUCCAGGCCUCCAGCGCAACUGGGAUGCGUGCAGUCACUUUUGCCAUUCCACAGCGCGGUCGCGGCGGCCAGAUUGACGGCAUGUCUCAGCACAACCUCCCGGAGCUGCCGUGCUCUCUCACAGGGCACAUAAUACCUAUAGGCCUUAAAGAAAAAAUUUGGGAUUUUACCAGACCUGCUAGAAAUGUCCCACUGCAUCAUUAUCAAAGCUUGGUUUGUCGGUUCCAAGGUGACUUGCGUGAAGAAGACUCGCUAUAACAAGAAGCUAUUUUGAUGAACUGGAAGAAAAGAUUCUUAUAGUUUUUACUUAUUAAAACUCCAGCUUUUUACUAUGUAGCUACAAUGAUUCCAACUCAAAUUUCAUCCAACACAUGAUAUUGUGAUUGAGAAAUAAUGUUUCAGUUUGUGCUGUUCAAUUUUUUUACUAAUUGAAAAAACAAUCUUUCCUAUC